CGUCCAGACCGGAGAACAGAAACACCGGACAUCCGGCAGCUUCGCGAAGGCUGUAAUCAGCCGAUUGAGCACAGCUGUGCAUAGUUAAAGAGAUCGCCGGGCAAUUGGACAACUGGAGUACAUGGAGGAGUAUAAAAAGCACAGUUAAAUCACAGUUGAGGGUCGUAGUGUGUGCUGAGGAACGGAGCUGUGCUCAUUGCUAGACGUGGUGGCUGUCUGUAUUUCUCUCUCUCUCCCUCUCUCGUUGUAGUCUGCGGUGGACCUGCUGGAGUGAAAGGAAAAUCCUAUGGGUAAAAAGGAACUUUGGUCUAACCAGCACUUUUGAAGGAGUAAAGCAGGAAGAAAAUUGCCCUUGUUGUACAACGUAAACAAAGGCUAUCCGCUGUGAGUAUACCUUUUUGGUGUGGAGUAACUUGCAGAAAUUAACCUGUGUAAUCGUUGGAAACCUCCAGGAGAAGGAGGGCGGCCCUACCCCUAAAAUAGCGUGGUGGGCGAGCCGUUAGAAGCGUAAAUCCAAGCAGCCACAGCAACGAAACUCUAUUCUGGUCGUAUUUCCAUCGCCCUUAUCUCAGCCCAAGUGAAGUGGAGGACACCGGGCGUUUCCUUUGUUGUGUACACUUAUAGUGUGGUGAGUGAGACUUUGCAAUUAAUAAGCUUUUCACGUUGGAGUGGUGCUGUGUAUUUGCUGUGGGUUGCUGUGUGUCUUGUCAGACGAAGCCCCGCAUCAUCCAUUUCUUCUACUGGGCAGAGGACGGAGAGGCUAACGACCUCAGAAUUUACCGCUACCAUACGCAGUGUGCUGUUUUGGAGUGUGAAGGGACGCAGAUCACGAGCUGUCAGUGACUGUGAGUACAAUAUUGGAAAUAUUCGUGGUGCAAACUUACCUGUUCUGUCCUUGUCGCAGAAUCUGAGGCGAAAGGGUCCGCCGCCCCCGCGGUCUCUACAAAGGGGCGCCCCUGUCCAGGACUCGAUCGCCCUACGGGCAGUGGAGAUAGGGCAGCGCUCGACCCGGGGAGGUGGUGUGUGACCUUCGCCCCUCUGCUGACCUACGGAGGAAACCAUACUUAUCAGAGAGCUGUAAACAGCGGAGCCAGUGAGCAAUACUCGAAGUCCAAGUAACAGUGUCUUUGUGUCCUAGUGGCCACCUGUGGAGAGAAAGGAGAACGAGAGUGAAUAAUUGGGGAACAGACUGUGUAACGUGAUACCUACCCAGAGAGCUGUAAACAGCAGAGCCGGUGAGAAAUACUCGAAGUCCAAGUAACAGUGUCUUUGUGUCCUAGUGGCCACCUGUGGAGAGAAAGGAGAACGAGAGUGAAUAAUUGGAGAACAGACUGUGUAACGUGAUACCUACCCAGAGAGCUGUAAACAGCAGAGCCGUGGCCGCCUGUGGAGAGAAAGGAGAACGAGAGUGAAUAAUUGGAGACAGACUGUGUAACGUGAUACCUACCCAGAGAGCUGUAAACAGCAGAGCCGUGACCACCUGUGGGAAGCAAGGAGAACGAGGGUGAACGUACGACGGGGAACGUGAAGGCACGCGGGGCGAGGACCCCCUGCCGAACAGAGGAAAGGUACGCAGACAGCGGAAAAUCUCCUUACCAGUCACCCUGAAUUUGUUCUGCCUCCAGGAAGGAAGAAGGAGGGCGCCACGGUUAGCAGGGUCCAGGCCGGAGCCUGACGUUUCCCCUUUCCCCCGGCUUACAGUGGGUUGCACCCCUGUUGCCCUUGCCCUUUCUGCCCGUGGCUGCAGUCUCCCUGGAGGGAGGAGAAGAAGCCCAUUAGUUUUAAUUUCCCCUUCCCCAUUUCCCCAGUUCUUUUAAAUAUUUAAAUCAAAUAAAGCUUGUUUUAAAUUUUACUUAUCUGUUCCCGUGUUUGUCUGGUCAUUGGGUUGGCUUUGGGGACCUCCUCGAGGUGGGAGUUGAGAAGGGGCGUGGCUUCUAGUCAAACAUAGCCAGCCCCUGGGGGUGACAGAUUUUGGCGUAGUCGGCAGGGCCCCACCUCGAGUUGAGUAACCAAGGUCACCCAAUGACUGACAACGCGGGGCCUGCAGCCCCACCCCGUGCCACGUCCAUCAUCAUGGGAAGCCCAUGGAUCCAGAAAUAUGGAGGAGCAGAGUCGGAGGUACGACUGGCUGAAUGGAAGGCCCAGUUGGAAUACUUGGCCGACUAACAGGGCCUUAGCGCCGCCCAGCGGCUCCAGUUUGUGUUGAAUUCCCUAGAGGGAGAAGCAC